CAUUACCGAGUUUACAACUCCCAAACCCCUGUGAACAUACCUUAAUGUUGCCUCGGCGGAUCAGCCCGCGCCCCGUAAAACGGGACGGCCCGCCAGAGGACCCAAACUCUAAUGUUUCUUAUUGUAACUUCUGAGUAAAACAAACAAAUAAAUCAAAACUUUCAACAACGGAUCUCUUGGUUCUGGCAUCGAUGAAGAACGCAGCAAAAUGCGAUAAGUAAUGUGAAUUGCAGAAUUCAGUGAAUCAUCGAAUCUUUGAACGCACAUUGCGCCCGCUGGUAUUCCGGCGGGCAUGCCUGUUCGAGCGUCAUUUCAACCCUCAAGCCCCCGGGUUUGGUGUUGGGGAUCGGCUCUGCCCUUCUGGGCGGUGCCGCCCCCGAAAUACAUUGGCGGUCUCGCUGCAGCCUCCAUUGCGUAGUAGCUAACACCUCGCAACUGGAACGCGGCGCGGCCAUGCCGUAAAACCCCAACUUCUGAAUGUGACCUC
rnacentral:rRNA from 1 species